rnacentral:lncRNA from 1 species
UAUAAAAAAAAUAUCACUCACGAAUAGAUCAAUGUUACAUUUCCUUCACUCUUUAAGGAAAAACCACAUUCAACACACAAUUUUGCCUUCAGUUCCAAAUUAAAUCCCUUCUAAACAUCUCUCUAUUACAUCUACCCUUUCAUUUCAAUCUGAAUCCAGCCGUUUCAUGUAUCUAUGAAAGCUCUCCUAUAAAUUUAGGGCCAAACACAACUAAACCCUCACCACAAUCCACCGCAAAAACAUGCCGUCAGCAGAUUCGUCUUUCUCAAUUCCCGUCUUCCUUUAUUGCUGAUCUUUAUCAUGAUUUAUGUCUAGGGUUCAUACAUCUCCCUCGACAGUCUCCAUCUGGAUUGAUUCAACGUAUUGGAUUGCAUAUAUGUUGGCUUACGGUAUGAAACUUACCUUAUAUUUUGUUUUUCAUCAUUUUCAUUUAAGUUUGGCAUCUAUUAAAGCUUUCUAGAGUAGAUUGUGGAUACAUUGUAAGUCAGGAAAAAAAUAGUGUUACUGUGGUUGAAGAAAAUAUGGAGAGCCUUAAGAAGUACAUGUAUUUGUUUAUUGAGUCAACAUUUUCCUUUCUGUUUCUAAAAAUUUGUUUUAAUGUUUCUAUUUUCUUUCAAAAACUUUUGAAUCUUCUAAAGAAAAAGCUGAGAGUUUCAUUCAAGGGAAAUAAAAAGGACGCCACUGAAUUCUUGGAGGUAUAGCAUUUUAAUAAAAAAAAAAAUCUUUCACUAAUGUUUUGGCUGGUUUAUAGAAAAUUGCAUGCAUUGUGUAAUGUUUUGUUAGGAGAUGAAUGAGAAAGAAACUACAGAGAUGAAAGAAAUC